UACGUAGGGUGCGAGCGUUAAUCGGAAUUACUGGGCGUAAAGGGCGCGUAGGCGGCUCAUGAAGGCUGUGGUGAAAGUCCGGGGCUCAACCUCGGAUCGGCCGUGGCGACUCGUGGGCUGGAGCACUGUAGAGGCGGGUGGAAUUCCGGGUGUAGCGGUGGAAUGCGUAGAUAUCUGGAGGAACACCGGUGGCGAAGGCGGCAUCCUGGACCGAGAUUGACGCUGAUGCGCGAAAGCCAGGGGAGCAAACGGG
rnacentral:rRNA from 1 species